rnacentral:rRNA from 1 species
AUAUCCAUUAUGGAAAAUUCAACAUUAAUAUUAUAAUAUUUAUUUAUAAAUAUUAUAAAAAUAGUGUGCAAUUUUUCCAUAUGAGGACAUUGUAAUCUGUUAAUGUAAUAAAUAUUUAUCAUAAGAUUCAAUAAAUAAAAGUUUAUUCAAAUUAGUUAUUUUCCGAUUUCUAACAUAGAAUAAAUUUAAUUGAAUUUGAUAAAUCAUUGACAGAUUUAUUUAUAUAUAGUGCUUAAAUUCUUAAUUGAAUUUUACAAUAAUUUAUAAAUGUAUUUUCAUUUAUUUAUUUAUUGUAUGCACUUAUAUGAUUAACAAUGCUAUAGAUUCAGGAUACCUUCGGGACCCGUCUUGAAACACGGACCAAGGAGUCUAACAUAUGUGCAAGUCAUUGGGUAUUUUUAAUAAAACCCAAAGGCAUAAUUAACUUAACUGUUUUUAAUAUGGGAUUAAUUUAUAUUUUAUUAUGAAAUAUUAAUUCAAUCCCGGGGCGUUCUAUAUAGUUAUGUAUAAUAAUAUUUAUAUUAUUUAUGCCUCUAACUAGAGCGUACCUUGAGCAUAUAUGCUGUGACC